rnacentral:rRNA from 1 species
UUCCGGUUGAUCCCGCCAGACCUGACUGCUAUCGGAUUGAUACUAAGCCAUGCGAGUCAUUGUAGCAAUACAAGGCAUACGGCUCAGUAACGCGUAGUCAACCUAACCUAUGGACGGGAAUAACCUCGGGAAACUGAGAAUAAUGCCCGAUAGAACACUAUACCUGGAAUGGUUUGUGUUCCAAAUGAUUUAUCGCCGUAGGAUGGGACUGCGGCCUAUCAGUUUGUUGGUGAGGUAAUGGCCCACCAAGACUAUUACAGGUACGGGCUCUGAGAGGAGUAGCCCGGAGAUGGGUACUGAGACACGGACCCAGGCCCUAUGGGGCGCAGCAGGCGAGAAAACUUUGCAAUGUGCGAAAGCACGACAAGGUUAAUCCGAGUGGUUUCUGCUAAAGGAACCUUUUGUUAGUCCUAGAAACACUAACGAAUAAGGGGUGGGCAAGUUCUGGUGUCAGCCGCCGCGGUAAAACCAGCACCUCAAGUGGUCAGGAUGAUUAUUGGGCCUAAAGCAUCCGUAGCCGGCUCUGUAAGUUUUCGGUUAAAUCUGUACGCUUAACGUACAGGCUGCCGGGAAUACUGCAUAGCUAGGGAGUGGGAGAGGUAGACGGUACUCGGUAGGAAGGGGUAAAAUCCUUUGAUCUAUUGAUGACCACCUGUGGCGAAGGCGGUCUACCAGAACACGUCCGACGGUGAGGGAUGAAAGCUGGGGGAGCAAACCGGAUUAGAUACCCGGGUAGUCCCAGCUGUAAACUAUGCAAACUCAGUGAUGCAUUGGCUUGUGGCCAAUGCAGUGCUGCAGGGAAGCCGUUAAGUUUGCCGCCUGGGAAGUACGUACGCAAGUAUGAAACUUAAAGGAAUUGGCGGGGGAGCACCACAAGGGGUGAAGCCUGCGGUUCAAUUGGAGUCAACGCCGGG